rnacentral:rRNA from 1 species
CCUACGGGUGGCAGCAGUGGGGAAUAUUGCGCAAUGGGCGAAAGCCUGACGCAGCGACGCCGCGUGAGGGAUGCAGGUCUUCGGCUCGUCAACCUCUGUCAGCAGGGCAGAACAGUCACUGUGCUAAUCAGCAGUGAAUUGACGGUACCUGCAAAGGAAGCACCGGCUAACUCCGUGCCAGCAGCCGCGGUAAUACGGAGGGUGCGAGCGUUAAUCGGAAUUACUGGGCGUAAAGGGCUCGUAGGCGGUAUGUCAAGUCAAGGGUGAAAUCCCCGCGCUCAACGUGGGAACUGCCGUUGAAACUGGCAAACUGGAGUGUGUGAGAGGAUAGUGGAAUUCCAGGGGUAGGAGUGAAAUCCGGAGAGAUCUGGAGGAACAUCAGUGGCGAAGGCGACUAUCUGGCACAUAACCGACGCGGAGGAGCGAAAGCGUGGGUAGCAAACAGGAUUAGAUACCCGAGUAGUC